GACGAACGCUGGCGGCGUGCUUAACACAUGCAAGUCGAACGAUGAAGCUAGAGCUUGCUCUGGUGGAUUAGUGGCGAACGGGUGAGUAACACGUGAGUAACCUGCCCCGAACUCUGGGAUAACUGCUGGAAACGGUAGCUAAUACCGGAUAUGACCAAUGAAGGCAUCUUCUGUUGGUGGAAAGAAUUUCGGUUCGGGAUGGACUCGCGGCCUAUCAGCUUGUUGGUGAGGUAACGGCUCACCAAGGCGACGACGGGUAGCCGGCCUGAGAGGGCGAUCGGCCACACUGGGACUGAGACACGGCCCAGACUCCUACGGGAGGCAGCAGUGGGGAAUAUUGCAUAAUGGGCGCAGGCCUGAUGCAGCAACGCCGCGUGAGGGACGACGGCCUUCGGGUUGUAAACCUCUUUUAGUAGGGAAGAAGCGAAAGUGACGGUACCUGCAGAAAAAGCACCGGCUAACUACGUGCCAGCCGCCGCCGUAA
rnacentral:rRNA from 1 species